UUAGAUCAAGGUUUUCGCAACUUCACUCUUCCUCUUUGAUUCGAAAAUGAAGAAAAACGGUUUUGAGAUCCAAACACAAACCCCUCCGUUUCUUAUAGAUCCAAACCUCAUUUCUCGAAGAGAUAGAAGGGAAAGUUGCUCACCAUCACGCUACGGUGCUAGUGCACUAAUUUGGAAGCGGCGUUGCGAGCGAAGAUUUUACCGGAAUUACUCGCGGUACCGGAAACGCACGUUAGAGCUAACGCGAAGGUAAGGGCUCCUUCCAAAUUUCUAGUUUGCAUUAGGGACUUAUCUGUGAUUGUGUGGGAAGGAAUUGGUUAGGGUUUAAUGUAUCGAUUUGGGGAAAAACGAAACUAAUACGUUAUGGGUAAAACCUUAGAGUUAGGUUUUGUUUAUAUUGAUGGAUGUUUCGUGGUAAAUGAGUUUGAAGUCAUUGUGUAUGAUUGUGAGUAAAUGAAAUUUGAUGUAUCUGGGUGUUAUGAUUGGCUUUGAUUCGUGUUCGUUGUUUUUGACAUGCUCUUAAUUGAUAUUGAUGAAAUUUGAUAUGUGUAUUAUUGGAUUUGUGAAUAAAUGAAUUGAUAUGUUUUGAUGUGAGAAUUUGUUGAGUUUGUGUUGUGUG
rnacentral:lncRNA from 1 species